GGCGGCAGCGGCCGAGCAGCCCCGCGCAGGCGCGGCCAGCGGAGCCGCCAUUUCCAGACCCCCGCGCGGCGGGCUGCUUGCCGCGGCGCCUCGCUCGCUUUUCCGUCCCGCGGCGUCUCUCCACCCGCUGCGGGGAAGCCUCUUCCUCUCCCCGGACCAGCCUGCGGGGAAGCCCGGGCCUCGCCCCCUCCCCACCAUGCGCCACAGCCUGACCCAGCUGCUGGCGGCCUCGUCGGGCGGGGAGAGCCCCUCGGCCGCCGCCUGGCAGCUCCCCCGCGCGGGGCCGGCCCCUGGGGCCGGAGGCGGCCAUGGCGGGGAGGAGGAGCCGGAGGGCCCCCGCACCAAGCCGCAGCGCUGGGACGCGGCCGUCCUGGAGCAGCCGCAGCAGGCGCGGGGGGAGGCGGCGGCUGGGGCCGAGGAGCCGGCGGAGCAGGAGGACCCGUUCGCGGGGCUGGAGCUGGAGCUGGAGCUGGGCGAUCUGCUGGAGGCGGCCCAGCCGCACUGGGACCUGGACGUGGAGCCGAGCGGCUGCUUCUGCGGGCAGCAGGACGAGCCGGAGCCGCCCCUGAGCGCGCCGGGCCGGAGCAGCUGCGGGGCCAGCCCGGGCGGGGUCGGGGCCAGCCCGGGCGGGGUGGCGAGCGGGAGCCGGCUGAAGGCGGCGGCCGCGGCCCGCCUGAACCGGCUGAAGAAGAAGCAGUACGUGCUGGGGUUGGAGAGCCGCCUGCAGGGCCUGGCCGCGGAGAACCGGCAGCUGCGGGACCGCAACCGGGGACUGAACCGGCGCUUGCGGGAUCUGGAGCGGGAGACUAACUACCUGCGGGCCGUGCUGGCCAACCAGAGCGCCCUGGGGCAGCUGCUGAACCGCCUGGCCGGGGCGGGGGGGCUCAGGCUCCGGACCAGCCUCUUCAGGGACAUGGACCCGCCCCAUCAGCACCCACCACAGACUGGCGAGAGCCGCGACCACGACUACGCCCUGCCGAGCCAGGAUGCUGGCGAGCUGGAGGCGGAGGAGCGGCCGGCCUCCGGCGGGAUCUGCCUCCACGUGGACAGGGAUCAGCUGUCGGUGGAGUUCUGCUCCCUGUGUGCCAGGCGGGCAUGUGCCUCCUUCAAAAUUUUCUUUUUUAGGUGCUUGCCCUGCCAGGCUCCGUUGUGUAGGGGUUAAAGAACAGUCGUUUUCCACCUCGCAACCUGUGGAUACAGCUGUGUUGGGGCAGAAGAGACGGGACCAGCUGCUGGCCACAUUUCCUGCUUUAUUUUAAAAGCUUAGCAGCAUCUGGGGGAAAAACAAUUCAAUUUUUCUGCAACCUGUAACUGCCUGGAGAGAUGCUAUCAAAGUAAUUAUGGGGAGCCAUGUCACAAAUUCUGGCAUCUACUGAUGUAUCUGAGUUACCAAUUUUUUUUUUGUCACUUGCCAAAAGUGGAGAGUCCUAGUGUUUCCUUUGAAAUUUUGAGGGACUUAUUAAAAAAUAAAGCAAAGGUUUUAUGUAUAAAACUUUCAUAAAAUUACCCAUUUUUAAAAACCUUUAUGGUAAUGUGUUUUGGGGAUUGUGUAUUUGGAUAUGGUAUCUUCUGCGUGAAGGAAGGUAUUGUAAUACUUCGUAUACAGCCUAUUAUACUAUUAUUUAUUUAGACUUACAAAAGCCUCAGUAGGUGUACAUCAUAUGCCCUGGGUGUCCAAAUGGAUAUUUUGUAUUCAGAAACUUUUUUUUGUAGUUUUAAGCAUAGUAAAACGCGGGUCACCAGUGGUGGGUGAGGUGCUCUUCUCUCCCAUCCUGUUGGGAUAAGAGAGUGCCAGGGAUGGGGCUUUCUUGGGAGGUGUGCCUGUUCUGGGCUUAGGAGAAAUCAAGAAGAGGAGGGGAGUGUUUAUUGCCAGGGGGAUUGGGAGCAAGGGGAGAAGAAAGCUGUUGCUGGUUGUGAUAGGUGAAGUAGUGUUUUGUAGCACUGUUCAUAAAACAGAGAGCUCUGCUCAUGAUGGUACAGCAGGCUUCUCCAUUCCUUUCUCCUCUAACAACCCUCUCUCCCAUAAAAUGAAUCACCAUCAUUCCGGCAGAAGAUUAGACCUUGACUACCUUCAGAAUCCAUCUAUAUUGCUUCUUAAUUGCACAGUAGAUUUUGCCUUUAAAAUGCAGUGAAAGCUACUGCAGUGAUGAUGUUUUUGUGUGUAACCUGUUUUUGCCAUGAUGGUAAGAAUCUCUACAGAUAAGGAUGUAACUAAAAAUAAUUAUGACCGUACCUGUAACUGCUGACUUGAGAUUUUAAACACUUUUUCUUGCUUAGUUUUCAGUUGACUUUUGGCAUAAUGUAACGUAGAUACUACUUUUCAUAGUAUUCCUACAAUUUGUGUGAUGGUAGCUGUUACUAGAAGCUACAUAACUCAACCACUUUGAAUUUUUUUUUUUUGGUGUGAAAUGCCAAAGGUACUGGGGCAUACUGAGAAGUAUUUGUAUGUAUAAAAAUAAGAGGCAGGUAGCCCCGCAUUAAAACAAUUUUUCCCUUAUCGAUGAAUCUUUAAAUAGCCAUGCUAACAUAUUUGACUGAGAGAGAAAUUGCAUCAGUAACCUAAAAACAAUUUUUUCCUGGUGCAACUUACAAGUGGAUGAAUUAAAAACUUUUCAGUAUCAGGCUUUGUAACUUUAAACAGUGACUGGCCAAUAGUCACAAUGUGUGUAUCCCUAUUUUUUCAAUCUCCUGCUACAGACUAACUUGUUAAGUUUUUAAAUUUGAAUAAAUUAUUUAGUGUAAAAGAAUGUCAUCAGGUGAACAGUCUAAAAAAAAAAAAGGGUACAGGCCUGCAAUUGUUACUCUUUAAACUAGUUUAGUUUCCAAAGCGGAAUGAAUGUAAUACUAAUUAGUUUGAUUAAAUGCUGGUUUGAGCUAGA